rnacentral:tRNA from 1 species
GGAGAGUUCGCAUAGCGGUCUAGUGCGCUCGCUUGGAAAGCGGGUAAGGGAGAGAUCCCUUCAGGAGUUCGAAUCUCCUACUCUCCG